AGAAAUCUAUGGAGUAUAUAGAGAAAAUAGAAUUUCACAAUAUGCCUAUGCCCAACGCAACCAAAAGUAGAUCAACAAAAUUACCAUACACCGUUGAAUUGUUUCCAAACUAUUUCACUACCUACUUGUAGCUCAAACCUUCUCAAGAGAUAGAUUAAGAUGAAUCCUAGAAAUUAGUGAAAUCAACAAAUCAAGCGCAAAAUACACAAGGAUUUGUUUACCAAAGUUCGGAUUCCUUCACUGAGGAUUCCUACGUCUUCGUUGGGUGCUUCCAAUGAAGCCGGAUCACUCUCAACCCUUCC
rnacentral:lncRNA from 1 species